rnacentral:rRNA from 1 species
GAUGAACGCUGGCGGCGUGCCUAAUACAUGCAAGUCGAGCGAACAGACGAGGAGCUUGCUCCUCUGACGUUAGCGGCGGACGGGUGAGUAACACGUGGAUAACCUACCUAUAAGACUGGGAUAACUUCGGGAAACCGGAGCUAAUACCGGAUAAUAUAUUGAACCGCAUGGUUCAAUAGUGAAAGACGGUUUUGCUGUCACUUAUAGAUGGAUCCGCGCCGCAUUAGCUAGUUGGUAAGGUAACGGCUUACCAAGGCAACGAUGCGUAGCCGACCUGAGAGGGUGAUCGGCCACACUGGAACUGAGACACGGUCCAGACUCCUACGGGAGGCAGCCGUAGGGCAUCUUCCGCAAUGGGCGAAAGCCUGACGGAGAAACGCCGCGUGAGUGAUGAAGGUCUUCGGAUCGUAAAACUCUGUUAUUAGGGAGGAACAAAUGUGUAAGUAACUAUGCACGUCUUGACGGUACCUAAUCAGAAAGCCACGGCUAACUACGUG